rnacentral:tRNA from 1 species
UCGGGGGUGGCAGAGCAUGAAAUGCGGCCGUUUUAAGCGCGGUUUACGAGGGGGGUCCUCUCCCCGAA